rnacentral:lncRNA from 1 species
CCGGACGGGGUAUGGGGGAUGACCCGUUUCACCCUCAUACCGGAUAGGGUGUUGAGGGAUGAUACUUUUGGUGCUCAUACCGAACGGGAUAUGAGGACGGCCGGGUAGUUGACAAUGUUGAAUAAUAGUUCACACAUAGUAGGGACAUCCCUAUGGACCCCCUAUGGAUACUAGUAAGCAUAUAAAAGAGAAAGUUGUUGUUCUGAAAAAUUGAAUAUG